UACGAAGGGGGCUAGCGUUGUUCGGAAUUACUGGGCGUAAAGCGUGCGCAGGCGGCUUCUCAAGUCAGGGGUGAAAGCCCAGAGCUCAACUCUGGAAUUGCCUUUGAGACUGAGUGGCUUUGAGUACGAGAGAGGUGAGUGGAAUUCCCAGUGUAGAGGUGAAAUUCGUAGAUAUUGGGAAGAAACACCGGUGGCGAAGGCGGCUCACUGGACCGGUAUUGACGCUGAGGUGCGAAAGCGUGGGGAGCAAACAGG
rnacentral:rRNA from 1 species